GUCACUGGCGUCCUCCAGAGUGCCCACCGAUCGGAAAGUCGUACGAACCGCAAGCUUUGAACGUCUGUUUAUCGCAACAUCGAAAGCGGCGGCACAGAAGACGCGAUGUGAGCUCCGGUGGGAACAGCAGCCCUUUGUCUCGUAACGGAUGUUGCUAUCUCUACAAUAGCCGGAGAAGACGAAACAAGUUUUGCAAUGCACACGGACUGGCUCAGUUGUGAAUGUCACAAAUGCUCCCCUAACGAGGAUCAAAUCAAUGAAAGGAUGGCCUUGAUAAAUAAUAUUCAUGAGGCGAAGAGGAAGUACCCAUACAUGAUGAGCUUUGAGAGGUGACUUUGCAAGACUGACUAAGAUUGACCCAUCACCUUGUAUUGCAAAAGGGAUCAACAAAAUUGUGAAAAUGGCAGAAAUGAAACACAUCCCU
rnacentral:lncRNA from 1 species